AAUGGGAUUCGGUGCGGGGCAGCGACUGCGCCCCGUCCCGGCGCCGCGCUCGUCCGCUGAGUAGGCGGCCCGGCCCGGGCAGCUGCGGCUCAGAGUCCGUCGAGGGGAGGCCGAGCCUGCCAAGCUGGCGCCCAGCGGGGUCAUGGUGCCCGGCGCCCGCGGCGGCGGCGCACUGGCGCGGGCUGCCGGGCCGGGCCUCCUGGCCCUGCUGCUCGCGGUCUCCGCCCCGCUCCGGUUGCAGGCGGAGGAGCUGGCCAGCCAGGUCUGGCAUUUGGGUUUAGUGGCCAGAGCUUGGGAUUAUUUCGGCUCCUUAUGCCCUGUUCUUCUGGAUCCACUUAACUAAAGGUGAUGGCUGUGGACACCUAGUGACUUAUCAGGAUAGUGGCACAAUGACAUCUAAGAAUUAUCCGGGGACCUACCCCAAUCACACUGUUUGCGAAAAGACAAUUACAGUACCAAAGGGGAAAAGACUGAUUCU
rnacentral:sRNA from 1 species